UCCUAAGGCUAAAUACUCUCUAGUGACCGAUAGUGAACCAGUACCGUGAGGGAAAGGUGAAAAGCACCCCGGAAGGGGAGUGAAAUAGAACCUGAAACCGUGUGCUUACAAGUAGUCAGAGCCCGUUAAUGGGUGAUGGCGUGCCUUUUGUAGAAUGAACCGGCGAGUUACGAUUUGAUGCAAGGUUAAGCAGUAAAUGUGGAGCCGUAGCGAAAGCGAGUCUGAAUAGGGCGUUUAGUAUUUGGUCGUAGACCCGAAACCAGGUGAUCUACCCUUGGUCAGGUUGAAGUUCAGGUAACACUGAAUGGAGGACCGAACCGACUUACGUUGAAAAGUGAGCGGAUGAACUGAGGGUAGCGGAGAAAUUCCAAUCGAACCUGGAGAUAGCUGGUUCUCUCCGAAAUAGCUUUAGGGCUAGCCUCAAGUGAUGAUUAUUGGAGGUAGAGCACUGUUUGGACGAGGGGCCCCUCUCGGGUUACCGAAUUCAGACAAACUCCGAAUGCCAAUUAAUUUAACUUGGGAGUCAGAACAUGGGUGAUAAGGUCCGUGUUCGAAAGGGAAACAGCCCAGACCACCAGCUAAGGUCCCAAAAUAUAUGUUAAGUGGAAAAGGAUGUGGCGUUGCCCAGACAACUAGGAUGUUGGCUUAGAAGCAGCCAUCAUUUAAAGAGUGCGUAAUAGCUCACUAGUCGAGUGACACUGCGCCGAAAAUGUACCGGGGCUAAACAUAUUACCGAAGCUGUGGAUUGUCCUUUGGACAAUGGUAGGAGAGCGUUCUAAGGGCGUUGAAGCAUGAUCGUAAGGACAUGUGGAGCGCUUAGAAGUGAGAAUGCCGGUGUGAGUAGCGAAAGACGGGUGAGAAUCCCGUCCACCGAUUGACUAAGGUUUCCAGAGGAAGGCUCGUCCGCUCUGGGUUAGUCGGGUCCUAAGCUGAGGCCGACAGGCGUAGGCGAUGGAUAACAGGUUGAUAUUCCUGUACCACCUAUAAUCGUUUUAAUCGAUGGGGGGAC
rnacentral:rRNA from 1 species